GAUGAACGCUGGCGGCGUGCCUAAUACAUGCAAGUCGAGCGAACGGACGAGAAGCUUGCUUCUCUGAUGUUAGCGGCGGACGGGUGAGUAACACGUGGAUAACCUACCUAUAAGACUGGGAUAACUUCGGGAAACCGUAGCUAAUACCGGAUAAUAUUUUGAACCGCAUGGUUCAAAAGUGAAAGACGGUCUUGCUGUCACUUAUAGAUGGAUCCGCGCUGCAUUAGCUAGUUGGUAAGGUAACGGCUUACCAAGGCAACGAUGCAUAGCCGACCUGAGAGGGUGAUCGGCCACACUGGAACUGAGACACGGUCCAGACUCCUACGGGAGGCAGCAGUAGGGAAUCUUCCGCAAUGGGCGAAAGCCUGACGGAGCAACGCCGCGUGAGUGAUGAAGGUCUUCGGAUCGUAAAACUCUGUUAUUAAGGAAGAACAUAUGUGUAAGUAACUGUGCACAUCUUGACGGUACCUAAUCAGAAAGCCACGGCUAACUACGUG
rnacentral:rRNA from 1 species